UACUAUUUACUGGAUCCAGAAGUCAUGAAAGAAGAGAUAAAGAGAGCUUUCAAAAAGAAGUUUGAUGAACCCCUUAAAAAACGUCCAGUGUUUGGAGAUUAGAGAAUUUCAAAAACUUAAUUUGAACCAAGCCCGAAAAUUGAAAGGUCUAUUUUCUAUUAAAGAGGUGAAGGAAGCGCGGAUGUGACAAAGCCCCGGGUCGUGACGGCUUUACUUUCAAGUUUGUGAAGCGGUAUUGGGAGAUUUUAAAAUCGAGGAUCAUGGAGAUCACCAGUUUUAUGUCUCUGGAAAGUUAAAUCAUGGCUGUAACUCCUCGUUUUUCACUCUUAUUCCUAAAACUCAAGAUCCGCAACGGUUUGAAGACUUUAGACUCAGUGUCGUCUCCUACCCAGUCAGCUUUCGUGGAUAAGAGAAAUAUUUUUGAUGGCCCCCUCGUUGUUAGUGAGGUCGUUUCUUGGGCAAAGAAGCAAAAGACGGAGAUUUUUAUUUUUAAGGUGGACUUUAAUAAGGCUUACGAUUCGGUAAACUGGGUUUUUCUGUUGAAUAAUCUUAAAAUGAUGGGAUUCCCAAAGAGGUGGAGGAGUUGGAUUCGGUCUUACCUAGUUACUAGCAAGGCAUCGGUUUUGGUAAAUGGCUCUCCAAUGAAGGAAUUUUACCUUAAAAGAGGGCUCCGUCAAGGAAAUCCUUUAUCCCUGUUUUUGUUUGUUCUUGUACUAGAGGUUCUUGAGGUUUUUAUGGCGAGAGCGGUUCGGGCGGUUUGUUUGAAGCAGUUCAUCUUCCAAACGGUGGGUCGGUACUAACCCAUUUGUGUUAUGCGGACGACGUUCUUUUCUUGGGAAUGUGGUCUAAAAGGAAUUUGCAAAACCUAAGGCGAUUUUACGGGUUUUGUAUUUAGUGUCGGGCCUCAAGGUUAAUAUCAUAAAGAGUAGUUUGAUGGGAGUGGGGAUAGAGGAGGUAGUUGUGGAGAGAAUGGCGGAGUCAAUGCAAUGUAAAGCGGGUCAUUUUUUGUUCAAUUUCCUUGGCCUCCCUAUUGGGGUAAACAUGAAACGGGUCAAGCCUUGGAGACCGAUCAUUGACAAGCUCACAAAAAAAAUUAUCGAGUGGGAAGGCGAAAUAUUUAUUGAUUGGCGGAAGAAUCACGUUAGCUAAAGCGGUCCUUGGUAACCUUCCAUUGUAUUAUUUAUCUAUAUUUAAAGCUCCGAUAAAAGUUGUAAAGACACCAGAGAGUUUAAGGCGAAACUUCAUAUGAGGCAAAACGGGAAAUAGGCAAAAGAUGAGAUGGGUCGCAUGGUGGAAAAUUCAAGCUUCAAAGCGCAUGGGAGGUCUCGGGUUGGGAGAAAUUCGUAGUCUAAAUUGGGCAUUUCUGGCUAAAUGGAAAUGGAGAUUUAAAAAAGAUCCUACGCAACUUUGGAGUUUGGGCUACAGUUAUUCGGUCCAUUCACGGGUUACGAAGCGAUGACAUAUAAAUCCCUCUUAGGAGGGAUUUGGCGGGCUUUGGAAGGAUAUCGUUAUGGUAGAUAAAGAUACGGUGAAAGCUGGGAUCAAAAGCUCGAAAGACAUGGGGGUCGAAACAUUGGAUGGUGCUGUAGAGAGGUUCUCGGUGGCUUUGUUUCGGGACCAAGUGAACGAGAAAAUAGGGGAGAAUGUGCAAGUUGGAAGGUUUAGGUGGAACUCUUGGGCGACGAGAAAAGUAUUAAUUUUUGUUUGGAAGAUUUUUUUUGGGAUGUAUUCCAACGAAAGAGGCUCUAGAGAAAUGUUCUAACUAAUUGAUUAGAUAAUUAUCUACUAUCUAGCAUCCUAUACAACUUGAAUCGCCGCUCACGCUAUGAGACUACUGAUCAGUUGGCAAUGGAUUGUGUAAUGGUCAAAGCUAUUUGGUGGAACAUUUGUAUUUGGUUAAAAAUUCCCUUCAAUGCCAACAUGUCUUCUUGUAGUGA